rnacentral:rRNA from 1 species
AUGUCGAGAGCUCCUCCUUCCCCACACCCACAGCCGCCGCAGAUGGAGGUCGAUCCCUCGGGCUGUAGCAGCGACGAGGAGUCUGAUCGGAUCAGACAACUCAUUCCGUUUGAGUCGCCGCCACGAGAGCUUUAUUGGCAGAUGCAAUUCCUUGGGUACAUGCCUCCGAGCCCGCGGAUGAUGCCGCGUUCUCCUCCAUCACAACCUGAGCCAGGCCCGAUGGAUAUCGACCCCCCCGCCGGCGGUGGCGACGUGCCAUGGAGUGAAAUGCAACUUUCACUCCCGUCACCGCCACCUAUGUCUGGUCCCUGUCGCCCGUGGUCUUCGCUAGAGUUUUCUGAGUACCGCAAUCCUUGUAGCCCACAGACGCAGUGGCCGGUCUGGUCAGUGACUCUCUGGAAUUUUGACGAGACAACAUCUCCUCAACAGAUGGACCCCUGCUCCACACAGAUCGAUCAUGCCGCUGCGGCACCAGUGAGGAGGUCCAUCAGAGUGUCAGUGGUAUGGCAGCACUUCAGAAAGGACAACGAUGGAGGGGCGGCAUAUUGCAACUAUUGCAGCCAAGGCUUAUUUGCUCAUCGAAAGAUACAUGAUGGCACUUCUCAUCUAUGGAGACAUCUUUGGACCCACCAUUGUUUGGAGGAGAAACUGGACAUCGGAGUAGAAGGCAUAUAUUCUGCUGCAUCGAAGAUAGUCGGUAAUAUUCUUGGGACUGAGAAUGAAGAGGCAAAGGAAACAGAUGCCCAACAGUCAGGAAGUAGGCAUCUUGAAUCGCCUUUGGAGCUUGACAGAAGAACAAUGCCUCCUAAAAGGACGCGAAAACCUGCAGCAAGUAUAGAUGGUGUUGAACACAAAUUUUCUGGAGAGACAACCGAAAUGCUGGAUACCUGGCCUACAAUGCUGAAUAUGCCCAUGGACUGGAAUGGCCAGACCACUGGAAGAAGGCAUCCCAUGGUACAACUGGAAAAUAAAAAGGCCGCGGCAAGCAUAGAUGUUGUUCAACACGGUUUUUCUCAAGUGCCGGCCAUUGCAGAAACAUCAAGAGGGAAAUCACAAGUAUGCAUAGAUGCUCUUCCACACGGUUUCUCUCAAGAGCCGACCAACGCAGCAAGGUCAAAAAGAGAAUCAAAAGUAUGGCAGCACUUCAGAGUGGAUAAGGACAGAGUGCGGGCGUAUUGCAUCCACUGCACCCAAGAUUUGGCAGCUGACUCCAGAAAUGGCACUUCUCACCUGGCGAGACAUCUUACUGCUGUCCAUGGUUUUAAGAAACAGGCCGAUGGACACUUCUGCAAAGAUGUUGCUGCAUCAACGGUAGUCCGAACUAAUACUCUUGUGACUGGGAAUGAAGAGCCGAAGGAAACAGAUGCCCAAAACUCAGCAACUAAGAGGCAUCUUGAAUCGUCUUUGGCGCUUGCUCCUAAAAGGAUGCGAAAACCUGCAGCAAGUAUAGAUGAUGCUGAAGCUCAACACUGUUUUUCUGGGGACGGGACUAGUAUAGCAAAAUCAAGAGGAAGAUCAGAAGUAUGGCAGCACUUCAGAGAGGAUAAGGAUGGAGGACGGGCUUAUUGCAACCAUUGCAGCAACAACUAUGCAGCUGCCACGGAAAUAGGCACUUCUCGCCUGUGGAGGCAUCUCGAGAAAGACCACAACAUAUUCCCAAAAAGCAGAGCCUCGUCCUCUAAAGACGGGAACUAA